rnacentral:rRNA from 1 species
UAUAGAUAUACUUUUAUAUUAUAGUGAAGGUUUUUAUUUAAAGGUAAAAUUUUUAAAAUGAUAUACAAAUAAUUUUAUUAAAAGUUAGUACUGUGAAGGAAAUUUGAAAUAAUUUAAAUAUUUUUAUAAAAAGUAGUAAGUAUUUUACCUUUUGCAUAAGGGGUUAUCAAUAAGAAAUUUAUAUAAAAAUUUCCCGAAUCUUGUUGAUCUAUUUACACUAAAAUUUUUUCUGUUGAAUUAUAAAUUUAAAUAGUUAAAUAGAAAUGAAAUUUUAAUCAAAAUAAGGGCUAUCUGGUUAUAAAAAUAAUAUUAUACAUAGAGCCUUUUUUGUUUUUAAAUAAUAAGAUUAAAGGUGGCAGUUUAGUGGGAUAAGCUACUAUACGUUCUAUAAAUUUGUUAAAGUUUAAUAAAAGGCUUAAAGUUAGCUUUAUUUGUAAUAAAAUAAUUUUAAACAAAUAUUUAAUUAGAUAUUAAUGUAACUUAAAAAAUUCUAUUUAAGAAAAAUAAUGAUAGUAUUAGUAUAAAUAAAAUUUAAAAUAAUAUAUUAUGUUUUUAUGUAGGAAUUCGGCAAAUGUAUUUCCCGACUGUUUAUCAAAAACAUUGUUUUUAGUUUUUAUUAAAAAUAUAUUCUGCUCAAUGAAUUUUAAAUUGCCGUGGUAUUUUGACUAUGCGAAGGUAUUGAAAUAAGGCUUUAAAUGGGUGCUAAGAGAAUGGAGGUACGGGGAGAAGCUGUCUUAAUAAAAAUAUUAGAAUUUAAUUUUUAAGUGAAAAGGCUUAAAUAGUAUAGUGGGACAAGAAGACCCUAUGAAUCUUUAAUUUAUUUUAUUAUUAUAAAAAUAAUAAUUCUUUAAUAAUAAGGUAAAUUUUGGUUGGGGCGACAGUAAAAGAUUAAGAAUCUUUUAUUAGAUCCGAUAUUGUCGAUUAAAGGAAUAAGAUACUCUAGGGAUAACAGCGUUAUUAUUUUGGAUAGUUCAUAUUGGUAAAAUAGUUUGCGACCUCGAUGUUGAAUUAGUGGACCUUAUUAAUGCAGAAGUUAAUAAAGGUAGAUUGCUCAUCUAUUAAAUCACUACAUGAUUUGAGUUCAGACCGGCGUAAGCCAGGUUAGUUUCUACCUACUUUUUUAAUUUUUAGGCUUAGUACGAAAGGACCAGCUUAAAGUAAUUAUUAUAUAAAUUUUGUAAAUCAAUUUAAG